GAGAAUGGGUUUCCGUGCGAGAUCCACCUCAGGCACAUACAUCAGCUAAACCUCGGAGCUGCAUAGAGACCAUGAGGAGGCGGCGCUCUGCCACUCAGUAACUCCAGGUGCAGCAUGCCCACAAGGUGGACCCGCGGUGACCCUGGUCCCCGAGACACAGACCACUUUUAGGAGGAAAGCUGGUGUGGCCAGAGAUGAC